GACUGCUCUGCGAAUAAUGAGGGGGAAAGAGAGAGAGAGACUUUCUGAAGUGAUGUUGGCCACGGAGAGGAAGGUGAGCAAGCAGCAAUCACCGGUUCCUGGCUGCUGCAUCUGGCCUAGUGCAGGCGAGGUGCGCAGGUUCAGCGGCCGUGGUGAUGGUCGUCGUUGCUAGCGUAGUGGCGAGAGCCCAGGGCGGUGGCGGCGGAUUCGAUGGCAGCCUAGAGCGCGGGGGUCGCGGUCUUCCAUGGCGGAGGCCGUGCUGUGUUGUUACCGUCAAGGAAUUGGAUGGAGAUUGGAACAAGGAGAGGAGAGGAGAAAGAAAAUUGUCUGGCUAGGCCAAGGGGCUACCACAUCGAGCGUCGGGGAGGCGGCUCCGGGGCGGCCGCGAGCUGGAACCGGGCGACGGCGACGGCGGCGAGCAGGUAGCAUCGGGAGAGACCGGUGGCGGCGAGGAGGUGACAGCGCAAGGGGGGGUAACGCUAUUCCUUUUCCCUGCAUCCGCAGGGGCCACCGACGCCUGCGAGCAUGACUAGCCAGGAACGAGAUUUCCUGACGUGCCUGCUAGCCUCGCUUGGAGAUCCCUUUUGGACUAGCUGCACCUGGCUCCAGGGACUAACCGACUGAGCAGGCAACCAGUCAUGCCAAGCCUGCACCUCGCAAGCUUGGUGCAUGCUACAACACAAUCGAAGCCACGCGUUUGGAUGAAGUAACCAAACCCCUUGCUAAUCGAAGCCACGCGCAUCCAACGUUCCUGCCCCAGCUCGUCGACCUCCGCAACUUCGCCGAUAUCGAUCGGUGAUUCCUUCGGAUCUCUUCGAGACGUCCGCAUCGGGAGCUUGAUGGAUUGGGCGAGUGGAAGGAGAAUAACCAGUUGUUCUGUGCAUUAUGGGAGCUGUAUUACAAUGACAAAUCCAAUGAAGAAUAAGAAGCAUGCAUCUUCUGUGAAUCAAGCUGGUGAAAUGUUGUGAAACUGGUGUUAACCCAGAAGGUGGCUGCAAGAUGUGGUAGGAAAUUGCGACAGAAAAGAAAAUUGCAGGCAGGACAUGGCUGGAAACCAUUACAAAGGUCACAGCAUAGUACAACUACAGAUGAGAUCAACCAGACAAGUUCAUUUAGUACGGUCAGGGGUUGCUGCCGUGCUGGUUGUGAGUGACAUCUCGGCGUGCGGCGGUGCAGGUCGGGGCGACGCGGUGAACCCGUCUUGGUCGCUGCCCGCGCACGACGGCGAGCAACGAGGAAGGGGCGGUCAAGGUGGUCGCAGCCGUCGGCGGCGCAGAGCCAUACUGCCGCAUUCCAGCAAACGCUCGCUGCCUGCUGUCAGGGAAAUUGCGAGAGAAAUUUUUUUUAAAAAAAUGCGGGCAAGACGAAUAUGGCUGGAAACCAUUACAUAGGUCACAGCUUAGUAAAUAACACGUACAGAUGGGAUCAACCAGACAAGUUCAACGUCAACUAAGUACGAGAGGGCAUAAAAAUAGCACUGCUGCAAAGCAAAUUACAAUAGGAGUCUAGUGGAAGCAACAUGUUAUUUGCCCAAACGACUAAUUAUACUCUUGACUCACUAAAUAGAACUGACUUUGCCACACAAUAAGCA